rnacentral:rRNA from 1 species
UACGUAGGGUGCAAGCGUUGUCCGGAAUUAUUGGGCGUAAAGAGCUCGUAGGCGGUUUGUCGCGUCGGCUGUGAAAACUCGGGGCUCAACCCCGAGCCUGCAGUCGAUACGGGCAGACUAGAGUGCUGUAGGGGAGACUGGAAUUCCUGGUGUAGCGGUGAAAUGCGCAGAUAUCAGGAGGAACACCGGUGGCGAAGGCGGGUCUCUGGGCAGUAACUGACACUGAGGAGCGAAAGCCAGGGGAGCAAACGGG